rnacentral:rRNA from 1 species
AUUGAACGCUGGCGGCAUGCCUUACACAUGCAAGUCGAACGGUAACGGGCCUUCGGGUGCCGACGAGUGGCGAACGGGUGAGUAAUGUAUCGGAACGUACCUUUCAGUGGGGGAUAACGUAGCGAAAGUUACGCUAAUACCGCAUAUUCUGUGCGCAGGAAAGCAGGGGAUCGCAGGACCUUGCGCUGAUUGAGCGGCCGAUAUCAGAUUAGCUAGUUGGUGAGGUAAAGGCUCACCAAGGCGACGAUCUGUAGCGGGUCUGAGAGGAUGAUCCGCCACACUGGAACUGAGACACGGUCCAGACUCCUACGGGAGGCAGCAGUGGGGAAUUUUGGACAAUGGGGGCAACCCUGAUCCAGCCAUGCCGCGUGAGUGAAGAAGGCCUUCGGGUUGUAAAGCUCUUUCGGCCGGGAAGAAAUCGCACAGGCUAAUACCUUGUGUGGAUGACGGUACCGGAAUAAGAAGCACCGGCUAACUACGUGCCAGCCGCCGCAGUAACAC